UACAGAGGAGCCAAGCGUUGUCCGGAUUGACUGGGCGUAAAGCGCACGCAGGCGGUCGGGCGCGUGGGGUGUGAAAUCUGGCCGCUUAACGGCCAGGCGCCAUCCCAUACGGCUCGACUGGAGUGAUGCAGAGGUCGAUGGAAUUGCCGGUGUAGUGGUGGAAUGCGUAGAGAUCGGGGGGAAUACCUGUGGCGAAAGCGGCACCCUGGGCCAACACUGACGCUCAUGCACGAAAGCGUGGGGAGCAAACAGG
rnacentral:rRNA from 1 species